CCCCUCUCAGGGUCACAACUGGACAAUUUUCAGUACUCUACCAGUUUCGGCUAUGGGAGGGAGAGUCAAGCAGAGGCAUACCCAUUCCAUUCUUAGCUGGGGCAGUGGCUAGUGAGUGGAAGGCAAUUUGCUACAAGU